AUUGAACGCUGGCGGCAGGCCUAACACAUGCAAGUCGAACGAGUGGCGGACGGGUGAGUAAUGUCUGGGCAACUGCCUGCUGGACAGGGAUAACUCCUGUAAACGGUAGCUAAUACCGCCUGCCAUAGGAUGAUCCACGAUGGGAUUAGCUAGUAGGUUGGGUAAAGGCUCACCUAGGCGACGAUCCAUAGCUGUGCUGAGAGGAUGACCAGCCACACUGGAACUGAGACACGGUCCAGACUCUGACGGGAGGGAGCAGUGGGGAAUAUUGCACAAUGGGCGCAAGCCUGAUGCAGCCAUGCCGCGUGUAUGAAGAAGGCCGGCGGGUUGUAAAGUACGUUCAGCGGGUAGGCGUUACCCGCAGAGGAAGGACCGGCUAACUCCUUGCCAGCAGCCGCGGUAAUUC
rnacentral:rRNA from 1 species